CAUUACAAGUGACCCCGGUCUAACCACCGGGAUGUUCAUAACCCUUUGUUGUCCGACUCUGUUGCCUCCGGGGCGACCCUGCCUUCGGGCGGGGGCUCCGGGUGGACACUUCAAACUCUUGCGUAACUUUGCAGUCUGAGUAAACUUAAUUAAUAAAUUAAAACUUUUAACAACGGAUCUCUUGGUUCUGGCAUCGAUGAAGAACGCAGCGAAAUGCGAUAAGUAAUGUGAAUUGCAGAAUUCAGUGAAUCAUCGAAUCUUUGAACGCACAUUGCGCCCCCUGGUAUUCCGGGGGGCAUGCCUGUUCGAGCGUCAUUUCACCACUCAAGCCUCGCUUGGUAUUGGGCAUCGCGGUCCGCCGCGUGCCUCAAAUCGACCGGCUGGGUCUUCUGUCCCCUAAGCGUUGUGGAAACUAUUCGCUAAAGGGUGUUCGGGAGGCUACGCCGUAAAACAACCCCAUUUCUAAGGUUGACCUCGGAUCAGGUAGGGAUACCCGCUGAACUU
rnacentral:rRNA from 1 species